rnacentral:rRNA from 1 species
AAACCAACAGGGAUUGCCCUAGUAACGGCGAGUGAAGCGGCAACAGCUCAAAUUUGAAAUCUGGCCCUAGCGGUCCGAGUUGUAAUUUGUAGAGGAUGCUUUUGGUGAGGUGCCUUCCGAGUUCCCUGGAACGGGACGCCAGAGAGGGUGAGAGCCCCGUACGGUUGGCCGCCGAACCUAUAUAUAGCUCCUUCGACGAGUCGAGUAGUUUGGGAAUGCUGCUCUAAAUGGGAGGUAAAUUUCUUCUAAAGCUAAAUACCGGCCAGAGACCGAUAGCGCACAAGUAGAGUGAUCGAAAGAUGAAAAGCACUUUGAAAAGAGGGUUAAAUAGCACGUGAAAUUGUUGAAAGGGAAGCGUUUGCGACCAGACUUUUUCUCGGCGGAUCAUCCGGUGUUCUCACCGGUGCACUCCGCCGGGUUUAGGCCAGCAUCGGUUUUCUUAGGGGGAUAAAGGCCUUGGGAACGUAGCUCUUUAGGGAGUGUUAUAGCCCCUGGCGUAAUACCCUUCGGGGGACCGAGGAUCGCGCUCUGCAAGGAUGCUGGCGUAAUGGUCGUCAACGAC